AAGAUGUUGCCACAGCUUGUGCAAAAACUGUCUACAGAGCUACUGGGAGCUCAACAAGUCCCUGGAGUGUCCUGUUUGUUUGAGGGAGACACUGUUCUGUUCUUCUACAUCAUUUAAGUAUUUCUCGCUUGGCCUCAGAGGGUGAAUCCUCUCAAGACAGCAACUUCAAACCACUCUAUGUGGGGAAUGCAGAAAGUGAAAUGGGAGCAGUCCAAUGAAACCAGCCUUUGAUUUAUGCAUGAUUUACUGCUUCUUGAGACGAGGAAGUAGAUACAGACGUGAUGCUACAUGACACCAUUUCUGCACCCAGUUCCAUCUUAAAGAAACCCAAUGAAUCUAGUGAGAAUUCUCACCUUACGCCCGCAACUACUUGUAAAUCAUUAAGGUCCAACCUUUGUCCAAAAUGCGGCAAGAGUUUCAAAAGAAAGUCCGACCUCAGAACCCAUGAGAAGGUGCACUUCUUGAAGAAGCCACACCACUGCUCCACCUGCGGAAAGAGUUAUGUCAGUAAAUAUGAGCUCUCCAUGCACAUGCGGCUACACACUGGCGAGAAGGUGUUGGACUGUUCUUA